rnacentral:rRNA from 1 species
AUUGAACGCUGGCGGCAGGCUUAACACAUGCAAGUCGAGCGAGCGGCGGACGGGUGAGUAAUGUCUGGGAAACUGCCUGAUGGAGGGGGAUAACUACUGGAAACGGUAGCUAAUACCGCAUACCAUCAGAGGUGCCCAGAUGUGAUUAGUUAGUAGGUGGGGUAAUGGCUCACCUUGGCGACGAUCCCUAGCUGGUCUGAGAGGAUGACCAGCCACACGGGAACUGAGAAACGGUCCAGACUCCUACGUGAGGCAGCAGUGGGGAAGAUUGCACAAGGGGCGCAAUCCGGAUGCAGCCAUGCCGCGUGUGUGAAGAAGGCCUUCGGGUUGUAAAGCACGUUCAGCGAGGAGGCGUUACUCGCAGAAGAAGCACCGGCUAACUCCGUGCCAGCAGCCGCGGUAAUAC